AAGCCUAGGUUUAGGUUAUCAGCUUUAAUAUUUAUACUGUUAGGGAGUCGGAAUCAUUAGUAAGCAUGCAUAAUUUAUGAAUAAAUUAUAUUCCCCUUUAUCUCCUUGCAGGUACAAGGAAAUGCUAGAACUAGUGAUCUCACCCAGCCUCACUGUAAACAACGACCGCCUGGAAAAACUGAAGUUGAGCCUCGACGGCGACGUGACAGGGGCUCUGAGUGACAGAGAAGGUGUCACCAGAUCGGUUCCUCUGAGUGUGCCCCAGCUCUUUGCAAGACCUUGCCCACGCAUCCUGCCCAGCCCACCUUCUGCAACCAUGGCAGCCUAUGGCCAGACGCAGUACAGCGCGGGGAUCCAGCAGGCCACUCCCUACACAGCUUACCCGCCUCCAGCACAAGCCUAUGGGAUCCCUUCGUACAGUGAGUACCAGACAAGCCCUUGCUUUCCUCAUGGAGUCCCCAACAUUAUGGUCUUCAUCCUGUCCUAUUGCUCAUUUAAAUUCAGAAUGAUAAAUGCAGCCCAGCUAAUUUUGGAUUGACACAAUAAAUACGGUUU
rnacentral:lncRNA from 1 species